rnacentral:rRNA from 1 species
GAUGAACGCUGGCGGCGUGCCUAAUACAUGCAAGUCGAGCGAACGGACGAGAAGCUUGCUCCUCUGAUGUUAGCGGCGGACGGGUGAGUAACACGUGGAUAACCUACCUAUAAGACUGGGAUAACUUCGGGAAACCGGAGCUAAUACCGGAUGAUAUUUUGAACCGCAUGGUUCAACAGUGAAAGACGGUCUUGCUGUCACUUAUAGAUGGAUCCGCGCUGCAUUAGCUAGUUGUUAAGGUAACGGCUUACCAAGGCAACGAUGCAUAGCCGACCUGAGAGGGUGAUCGGCCACACUGGAACUGAGACACGGUCCAGACUCCUACGGGAGGCAGCAGUAGGGAAUCUUCCGCAAUGGGCGAAAGCCUGACGGAGCAACGCCGCGUGAGUGAUGAAGGUCUUCGGAUCGUAAAACUCUGUUAUUAGGGAAGAACAUAUGUGUAAGUAACUAUGCACAUCUUGACGGUACCUAAUCAGAAAGCCACGGCUAACUACGUG